AUUGAACGCUGGCGGCAUGCUUUACACAUGCAAGUCGAACGGUAACAGGCCGCAAGGUGCUGACGAGUGGCGAACGGGUGAGUAAUGCAUCGGAACGUGCCCAGUCGUGGGGGAUAACGCAGCGAAAGCUGUGCUAAUACCGCAUACGAUCUAUGGAUGAAAGCGGGGGACCGUAAGGCCUCGCGCGAUUGGAGCGGCCGAUGUCAGAUUAGGUAGUUGGUGGGGUAAAGGCCCACCAAGCCAACGAUCUGUAGCUGGUCUGAGAGGCCGACCAGCCAAACUGGGACUGAGACACGGCCAAGACUCCUACGGGAGGCAGCAGUGGGGAAUUUUGGACAAUGGGCGCAAGCCUGAUCCAGCAAUGCCGCGUGCAGGAAGAAGGCCUUCGGGUUGUAAACUGCUUUUGUACGGAACGAAACGGUCUGGGUUAAUACCCUGGGCUAAUGACGGUACCGUAAGAAUAAGCUCCGGCUAACUACGUGCCAGCCGCCGCUGUAAUAC
rnacentral:rRNA from 1 species